rnacentral:rRNA from 1 species
UACGUAGGGUGCGAGCGUUAAUCGGAAUUACUGGGCGUAAAGCGUGCGCAGGCGGUGAUGUAAGACCGAUGUGAAAUCCCCGGGCUUAACUCUGGCACGCUCGCUCGAUACUGGUCGGCUAGAGUGUGGAAGAGGAUGCUGGAAUUCCCGGUGUAGCGGUGAAAUGCGCAGAUAUCCGGAGGAACACCGGUGGCGAAGGCGGCUUCCUGGACCGACACUGACGCUGAGGCGCGAAGGCGUGGGGAGCGAACGGG